UACGUAGGGGGCAAGCGUUGUCCGGAAUCAUUGGGCGUAAAGGGCGUGUAGGCGGUCCGGUCAGUCGGUUGUGAAAGUCAAGGGCUCAACCCUUGAAUGCCGGCCGAUACUGCCGGGCUAGAGUCCGGAAGAGGUGAGUGGAAUUCCUGGUGUAGCGGUGAAAUGCGCAGAUAUCAGGAGGAACACCGAUGGCGAAGGCAGCUCACUGGGACGGUACUGACGCUGAGACGCGAAAGCGUGGGGAGCAAACAGG
rnacentral:rRNA from 1 species